AUACGUAGGGGGCGAGCGUUGUCCGGAAUGAUUGGGCGUAAAGGGCGCGUAGGCGGCCCGGUAAGUCUGGAGUGAAAGUCCUGUUUUUAAGAUGGGAAUUGCUUUGGAUACUGUCGGGCUUGAGUGCAGGAGAGGUAAGUGGAAUUCCCAGUGUAGCGGUGAAAUGCGUAGAGAUUGGGAGGAACACCAGUGGCGAAGGCGGCUUACUGGACUGUAACUGACGCUGAGGCGCGAAAGUGUGGGGAGCAAACAGGAUUAGAUCCCCUGGUAGUCCACACUGUAAACGAUGAAUGCUAGGCGUAGGGGGUAUCGACCCCUUCUGUGCCGCAGUCAACACAAUAAGCAUUCCGCCUGGGGAGUACGGCCGCAAGGUUGAAACUCAAAUGAAUUGACGGGG
rnacentral:rRNA from 1 species